AGGAUUCCCUUAGUAAUGGCGAAUGAACAGGGAUGAGCUCAACAUGGAAAUUUUGGCUCCUGGCCACGAAUUGUAAUCUCUCGACGCGCUGCCAGCAGGGGCGUAGAUGUAAGCCGCUUGGAAAAGCGAAUCACUGAGGGUGAGAAUCCUGUUCGUCAUCUGCAGACCUCUGUGUACGGCACACGUUCUAAGAGUCACGUUCCUUGGGAUUGGAGCGCAAAUUGGGUGGUAAAUUUCAUCUAAAGCUAAAUAUGGGUUCGAGACCGAUAGCAAACAAGUACCAUGAGGGAAAGAUGAAAAGGACUUUGAAAAGAGAGUUAAAAGUGCCUGAACUUGCUGAAAGGAAAGCGGAUGGAACCAGUUUUGCUUGGUGAGAUUGUCGCACGCAGCAAUGAUCACCUUCUAUUCCAGCGAAAGCGGGGCGGUGGGCUGUGAUUUGUUCGGUGUGAUGUUUCUUGCCUUGUGUGUCAUCAUCAGUUUGGAGGUGGGGACAACUCUUGGGACCUGGUAGCUCGCCCCUGGGUGAGUGAAUGUGCCUUGCGGGACCCACCAACAAACAGUUCAACCUUUGUGGGGCUGCGUUGCUUCGUGUUGCGUGCUCUGGCGAGCUUCACACGCGUGGCACCUUCCUUACAAGCUAAUGGUGACGAAAUGGUUCUAUUCGACCCG
rnacentral:rRNA from 1 species